rnacentral:lncRNA from 1 species
GCCAGCCACAGCCCCCUCCGCUGCCUCCAAAAUGGCCUGGAAUGAUCUCAAGUGAGCAGCUAAGCUUGGAACUGCAUCAGGUGGAAAGGGAAAUUGGGAAGAGGACCCGGGAAUUGAGUAUGGAGAACCAGUGUUCUGUAGACAUGAAAAGCAAACUGGGUACAAGUAAACAGGCAGAGAAUGGACAGCCAGAGCCACAAAACAAGGUCCCUACUGAGGAUCUUACGUUGACAUUCAGGUAAAGAAAGCAACACGUCUAGAGUUGCUAUAGUUUAACCAGAGAGAAAUAAUUUUAUUAUCUGACCAUAUGCAAAGUAUGAA